rnacentral:rRNA from 1 species
CUACGUGCCAGCAGCCGCGGUAAUACGGAAGGUCCAGGCGUUAUCCGGAUUUAUUGGGUUUAAAGGGUGCGUAGGCCGUUUGAUAAGCGUGCUGUGAAAUAUAGUGGCUCAACCUCUAUCGUGCAGCGCGAACUGUUGAACUUGAGUGCGUAGUAGGUAGGCGGAAUUCGUGGUGUAGCGGUGAAAUGCUUAGAUAUCACGAAGAACUCCGAUUGCGAAGGCAGCUUACCGUAACGUUACUGACGCUUAAGCACGAAGGUGCGGGUAUCGAACAGGAUUAGAUACCCUGGUAGUCCGCACAGUAAACGAUGGAUGCUCGCUGUUGGCCUUUGUGGUCAGUGGCUUAGCGAAAGCGUUAAGCAUCCCACCUGGGGAGUACGCCGGCAACGGUGAAACUCAAAGGAAUUGACGGGGGCCCGCACAAGCGGAGGAACAUGUGGUUUAAUUCGAUGAUACGCGAGGAACCUUACCCGGGCUUGAACUGCAGCUGAACGAUUCAGAGA